UACGUAGGUGGCGAGCGUUGUCCGGAAUUACUGGGUGUAAAGGGCGUGUAGGCGGUAAUGUAAGUCAGAUGUGAAAUACCACAGCUUAACUGUGGGGCUGCAUCUGAAACUAUGUUACUUGAGUGCUGGAGAGGAAAGCGGAAUUCCUAGUGUAGCGGUGAAAUGCGUAGAUAUUAGGAGGAACACCAGUGGCGAAGGCGGCUUUCUGGACAGUAACUGACGCUGAGGCGCGAAAGCGUGGGGAGCAAACAGG
rnacentral:rRNA from 1 species